CGGUUGAUCCUGCCGGACCUGACUGCUAUCGGAUUGGUACUAAGCCAUGUGAGUCAUUGUAGCAAUACAAGGCAUACGGCUCAGUAACACGUAGUCAAUCUGCCCUAUGGACGUGGAUAACCUCGGGAAACUGAGAAUAAUCCGCGAUAGAUCAUAAUGCCUGGAACGGUUUAUGGUCCAAAUGAUUCGUCGCCAUAGGAUGGGACUGCGGCCUAUCAGCUUGUUGGUGAGGUAAUGGCCCACCAAGGCUAUUACAGGUACGGGCUCUGAGAGGAGAAGCCCGGAGAUGGGUACUGAGACACGGACCCAGGCCCUAUGGGGCGCAGCAGGCGAGAAACCUUUGCAAUGUGCGCAAGCACGACAAGGUUAAUCCGAGUGUUUCCUGCUAAAGGAAUCUUUUGUUAGUUCUAAAACCACUGAUGAAUAAGGGGUGGGCAAGUUCUGGUGUCAGCCGCCGCGGUAAAACCAGCACCUCAAGUGGUCAGGAGGAUUAUUGGGCCUAAAGCAUCCGUAGCCGGUUCUGUAAGUUUCCGGUUAAAUCCACUAGCUCAACUAAUGGGCUGCCGGAAAUACUGCAGAACUAGGGAGUGGGAGAGGUAGACGGUACUCGGGAGGAAGGGGUAAAAUCCUUUGAUCUCUUGAUGACCACCUGUGGCGAAGGCGGUCUACCAGAACACGUUCGACGGUGAGGGAUGAAAGCUGGGGGAGCAAACCGGAUUAGAUACCCGGGUAGUCCCAGCUGUAAACGAUGCAGACUCGGUGAUGCACUGGCU
rnacentral:rRNA from 1 species